rnacentral:rRNA from 1 species
AGACGGGGGGUGCUAGCGUUGUUCGGAAUUACUGGGCGUAAAGGGCGCGUAGGCGGCUCUGCGAGUCGGGCGUGAAAUCCCGGGGCUCAACCCCGGAACGGCGCUCGAUACUGCGGGGCUGGAGACCGGAAGAGGAGGGUGGAAUUCCCAGUGUAGAGGUGAAAUUCGUAGAUAUUGGGAGGAACACCGGUGGUGAAAGCGGCUCUCUGGUCCGGUUCUGACGCUGAGGCGCGAAAGCGUGGGGAGCAAACAGGAUUAGAAACCCUAGUAGUCC